UGUCUUUUGCUAACUUUGGUGCUGCAUCCGCUGAGACAAGGAUCGCAGAAAGGAUCUGUAGGUUGGCGUGACGGUCAGUCUGGUUUUCACGGAUUCUUCACUGAAGUUCUUUCCUUCAGUAGCUUUGAGGAGAUACGAGCCCAAGAUCCUGCUGAGAUAUCAUCAUUGUAUUAUUCACCAAAACUUCAGCUGGUGGGUGUUUUCUUAUGAUUGUCUAACAAAGUUAUCUAUGGACUCAGAGAGCUAUUGUGUUUGGCCCUGAGAGUGCAUAGCAGUGAAGUCUUAGUGUGUGGAGUGAGUGCAGUUCUUACUGCAAACUACUUUCCAACAGAAAAAUGCAGCCCUCAAAAAAUAAAAAUCUAGAAUAUUCAGAAGCUUUCUAUAGGCCUUCCUUAGCUGUUCAGAAGACUAGUGCUGAAAUCGUAAAUGAAGCACGUAAUGCACUUAGGACUUUAAGAACUCAAAGACCAUUUACCCCAAGAGAGGAACAAAGGAAACUUUUUGGAUCUGCCUCUUCAAGAACACCUGAAAACAGGCCACCAUCUGCUUUUAGUCUUCAUGCUUCCAGUUUUGAAGCAGUUGAAUCAAGACCUGUGCCUUGUGCACGCCUCAGCCCACUGGACCAUAAGCCAAAGCUGGUGUCAACAGCUACAAGUAAUGAAGAGCAUCACAUUUCCUCUCCUAAACCACCACUGGAUUCGAAAGAGAUCAGAAAAGUCAGUAAUGCUCGUGCACGUUUGUUUAGAACAGCUUCUUAUGGAAAUCUUCUCCCUGAUAAAGUGUUUCUUCCUAAUGCAAGUAAGAGGCUGAGUUUUAAGGAACACGUUUCCAUGGAUAAUGUUUCAAGGAGUAAUAAUGAAAGAUUUUCCCAAAAAGUGACUGAUCAGUUGAACUUUAAGGAAGACUAUCCUCCACUAACAUAUAAAGAACAUGAUAGUAAGAUAGUAGGGGAAGAAGUCUAUCCACAAAUGAUACAUAUAUCUCCAUCUUUGCUCAGCAAUCAAAGUGACCAGGUUAAUAUGCAGGAAAAUCCUUUAUUAUACUCUGGCAAUACUGAAUGGACUAAAUCUGCAGCCAGGUCAGAAAAUUUGAGAGCAAAUGAGACAGAAGAAGAAAAAAACUACUGGAAUAUGAAAAUUUUACCAAUUUUACAUGAAUUAGAAACUGAGGACAAUGUAGAAAGCCUUUGUCAUGCCUGUACAAUUCUCUAUCAAGCCUUGGAAGAGGGAAAUAUGCUUGGCAAGCAGUGUAAAAGGCGAACAUUGUUUUUGAAGACUUUAUACAAAUUGGUUGACAUUGCUUCAGAUCCCCUUGGACUGAAACUAGCAAAAAUUAUUUUGGGACUGAAAGUGAGUGGAAAGAAUCUGCUUAAUGUUUGCAAAUUGGUAUUUAAAAUAAGCAGAAAUGAAAAAAAUGAUUACCUCAUUCAAAGUGACAGAAUAUUGGAUUCUCUGCUUGAAAUUCUGAGAGCUGAAGACUUGCAGGCAAAUACUGAGGCGUUUCUUUAUUGCAUGGGUGCAAUAAAAUUCAUAUCUGGAAAUGCAAAUCUCAUUAAUGAGAUGGUCAGCAAGGGAACUGUUGAGAUACUUCUACAGCUAAUGAACGAGAUAAAUAAAAUUAAUGAAAAUGAUGCUCAGUUUUCCAGUUCAGGGCACCUCUUGGUCCAGCUCACUGCCACUUUGCGAAACCUGGUUGAUUUGCCUCAGUCAAGGUGCAAACUCCUGGACUAUGGAGCAAUUCCAGAGCUUUGUCUGAUGUUGGAGAAACGUAUAAGUGACAAAGAUAUAUGUACCAAUGUGGCCAGAAUAUUCAGCAAACUUUCUUCCUUCAAUGACUGCUGUACAGCUUUGGCAGAUUGCUCCAGAUGUUACAUCUUAUUUUUAGCCCUGCUAAACAAACACCCAAAGAAGCAGGAUUUAGUCAUCCGAAUCAUUUUCAUUCUUGGCAAUUUAACAGCGAAGAACAAUCAGGCUCGAGAAGAAUUUUUUGAGAUGCAAGGAAGUAUUAAUACCUUGAUAACGUUAUUCCAAACUCAUUGUGAAGCUGACUCUAAUAGUAAAUUGUGGAAAAAUGACAGUGAAUUAAAAAAUCACAAGCAUCCUUCUGAAGAAGAAGAUGUCCUCAUCAAACUUAUAAGAGUGAUUGCCAAUUUGUCCAUUCAUCCUAGAGUAGGUGCAAGUCUAGCAACUAACCAUCACAUUGUGGCAUUACUUAUUACAGUACUAGAAUACAAAUCAGUUGAAGAAUGUGAAGAGCUGGUUAUUAAUACUACUGCAACAAUCAAUAAUUUAUCAUUUUACCAAGUGAAGAAUUCUGUAAUCCGGGAGAAGAAAUCAUAUAUUGCAGAGUUGCUUUUAAAACUCCUAAUGAGCAGCAAUAUGGAUGGAAUUCUGGAGGCUAUUCGAGUCUUUGGUAAUCUUUCUCAAUACCAAGAAAUUUGUGACUUCAUUAUACAGCGAAAGGUGUACAAGUUCAUGAUUGCAUUGCUUGAUGCUAAACACCAAGACAUCUGCUUUUCGGCCUGUGGAGUUCUUCUCAACCUUACUGUGGAUAAAAGCAGGCGUAGUAUACUGAAUGAAGGAGGAGGAAUCAAAAAGUUAAUCGAUUGUUUGAAAGACUUUGGGCCAACAGACUGGCAGCUGGCUUGUUUGAUAUGCAAAACUUUGUGGAACUACAGUGAGAACAUUACUAGUGCUGAGUCCUGCUUUGCAGAGGAUGAUGCAAACACCCUGGUGAUUCUCCUUGCAUCAUUUUUAGGUCUGGUGAAUUUUGUGCCAUACAAAUAUAUCCUGCUACAUGAUCUUCCAUAUGGACAAGGUUGUCCUCCUUCUGGAGUUGGUGUCUGAAGAAAUAAAAAGAUGAUGGCAGCCCGAUCUCAGGUGGAAGUGAGUUCCACAGUUGGGGAACUAUAAUGGAGAAGGCCCUUCUCCUUGCCAUCUCCCCUUUUACUCCAUUAGGGGAAGGGCCUCAGAUGGCAACGGCAGUGAUCAGAUGAAGAAUUAGCGCUGGAUUACAAUAUUGACAGUGAUUUAAGAGAUUAUCACAAACUUUAUUGGGAAACGGAGUUCAAACCUGUGGCACAGAAACUUCUUCAGAGAAUUCAAAAUUAAAACACUUUUCCUUAAAUCCUU